GGAAUUUUGGACAAUGGGCGCAAGCCUGAUCCAGCAAUGCCGCGUGAGUGAAGAAGGCCUUCGGGUUGUAAAGCUCUUUUGUCAGGGAAGAAACGGGUCUUUCUAAUACAGAGAUCUAAUGACGGUACCUGAAGAAUAAGCACCGGCUAACUACGUGCCAGCAGCCGCGGUAAUACGUAGGGUGCAAGCGUUAAUCGGAAUUACUGGGCGUAAAGCGUGCGCAGGCGGUUUUGUAAGACUGUCGUGAAAUCCCCGGGCUCAACCUGGGAAUGGCGAUGGUGACUGCAAGGCUAGAGUUUGGCAGAGGGGGGUAGAAUUCCACGUGUAGCAGUGAAAUGCGUAGAUAUGUGGAGGAACACCGAUGGCGAAGGCAGCCCCCUGGGUCAAAACUGACGCUCAUGCACGAAAGCGUGGGGAGCAAACAGGAUUAGAUACCCCAG
rnacentral:rRNA from 1 species